rnacentral:rRNA from 1 species
CCUACGGGUGGCAGCAGUGAGGAAUAUUGGUCAAUGGCCGGAAGGCUGAACCAGCCAUGCCGCGUGAAGGUCAGUGCCCUAUGGGCGUUAGACUUCUUUUGUGCGGGAGCAAUAAUGGUCACGUGUGGCCAGACGAGAGUACCGUACGAAUAAGCCUCGCCUAACUCCGUUCCAGCAGCCGCGGUACUCCGGGGGAUGCAAGCGUUAUCCGGAUUUAUUGGGUUUAAAGGGUGCGUAGGCUGUGAGGUAAGUCAGCGGGGAAAUGCCCCCGCUCAACGGGGUGAAGUGCCAUUUAUCCUGCCUUGCUGGAAUGCGGAUGCCGUGGGAGGAAGGUGUGGUGUAGCGGUGAAAUGCAUAGAUAUCACACAGAACACCGAUUGCGAAGGCAUCUCACGAAUCCGCGAUUGACGCUGAUGCACGAAAGCGUGGGUAUCAAACAGGAUUAGAUACCCUAGUAGUC